GUAUUUCUAAAUUUCUUUUCUUCAAAUGAGAAAAAUGAAAAACGAGUUUGAAAAGAUCUUCAUGCAAUGGAUAUUCUCAACUGUGCCCGUAUCACACACCACUGUUUCUACUUAUCAGCAAAUAACAGUUAAAAGUUCAUCUAAAAUAUGACACAUUUCAGAGUACCUUAGGAAGAGUAGAAAAGACAUACCAAACCAAAAAAAUAUCAGGCUGCCAAGGCUCCAACAAUUUCUCUAACCAAAAUGCAUACAUAAAAAGUUUAUUCUACAAACUCUGAAUAGAAAAGGAUUGCACAUAUUUAACUGAACUUUUUUUGUGAAACUCCAAAGCUUAAAAAAAACUUAGAUCAACAGCUCUGACUGAAAGUGAAGCCUUCUUCGUAUCUAGGUUCAGAGUAUGCAAUGCAACCUAAUGUUUAAACUAACUGAUU
rnacentral:lncRNA from 1 species